rnacentral:rRNA from 1 species
CCAAGGGGAGGGAACCAAGAAGAAAACCCCGGCCUAACUCGGUGCCGGGACCCGCGGUAAAAUUGGGGGGGCGACGUUUUCGCGAUUUUUUGGGCGUAAAGGGGGCGCGAGGGGAAUUUAAAGUGGGGGUGAAAACCCGGGGGUCCACCUGGGCGGCAUAUUACAAUGUGAGAUCGAGAACCCAGAGGGAAAAGUAAUUUCCCAGUAGCGGUGAAAAACGCAGUAGAUAUCUGGAACACCAGUGUCGAGAGCGGCUCUCUGUGGCGUGUCAGCUGCGCAGACGCGAAAACGUGUGGAGCACACACGAGUAGAGAUCCUCGUGGUGCACGCCGUGUACGAUGAGUACUAGAUGUGUGGGGUGUCUAUACCCCCUGUGCCGCAGAUAUCACACUAAGCAUUCCGCCUCGGGAGAACGCUCGCGAGACUGUAACUCUCAGGAGUUGUCGCGGGGCCGCACAAGCAGUGGAGUAUGUGGUGUAAUUUGAAGCACCGCGCAGAGCCUUUUCACGUCUUGACAUCUGAAUGACCGUCCUAGAGAUAGGGCUAACCCUCCGGACAUUCGAGACAGGUGGUGCAUGGUUGUCGUCAGCUCGUGUCGUGAGAUGUUGGGUUAAGUUCCGCAACGAGCGCAACCCUUAACUUUAGUUGCCAGCAUUUAGUUGGGCACUCUAAAUUAGCCGCCCGGGGUAAACCGGAGGAAGGUGGGGAUGACGUCAAAUCAUCAUGCCCCUUAUGACCUGGGCUACACACGUACUACAAUGGUCGGUACAACAGGAAGCGAAGCCGCGAGGUGGAGCCAAACCUAAAAAACCGAUCUCAGUUCGGAUUGUAGGCUGCAACUCGCCUACAUGAAGCCGGAGUUGCUAGUAAUCGCGAAUCAGCAUGUCGCGGUGAAUACGUUCCCGGGCCUUGUACACACCGCCCGUCACACCACGAGAGUUGGCAACACCCGAAGUCGCUAGAGGUAACCGCAAGGAGCCAGCCG